AGUUCCCCUUUAAGUGUAAUGAGGUCCAGUUCCAGUCUGCCUUUAUUUCUCUUAUAAGCAGCUCUGAUCAGCUUCUGCUGUGCAACAAUUUCUGCCUCUUUUUUCCCUUCUGCUUAUAGGCCUCAGACAGCUGCUGCAGGAUAGGAGCAAUAUCCUUAUGACUGGGUAGCUGGGGGUUUACAUCAGUGGGUGCACCCAUUCUCCUUUGUGCAGUUGGUUCAUAUGUUGCACUUAAAUCACUGGAGUCCUGGGAUUUCUGCUCCCCUUCUGAAUCCUCAGCCUCAUUGUCUGUAUCAGGCAUCACAUUCCCAACAGCAACAGCUGAGCUUCCCUGAUUCCCUCUAGUGGCUGCAGUCAGUUGGGCAGGUAAAGAGUUAAGCUGAGAGUUGGGUUCAGGUGUCUCGUAUCUACAGGAUCCUGAGCAGUGGAUUCCCCGGUCUGUGAAACUUCAGCAGCCCCAGAUCUGACAGUUUGGGACAAAAUAGCAGCUUCUCCCUUUCCAGCUGGACAUUUCCCUGCAGCACAGUCUUCAAGGGGUGUUUCUGGCACGAUAUAUGUAUCACCCCAAGUCUGACUUAUUUGGCUGCCAGAAUAGAUGCCUACAGGGGAUGAUGGGAGUUGUAGUUCAUGCACAGACACGCCUCCACCCUGUGGUUCCCCAUAACAUGUGCCUUUAGCAUCCAGUUUGGCUUCAGCCCCCACUGUAACACCAGAAGAUGAAGCCCCCAGAGAUGCAGAGCGCUGGUGUUUUCUGCUUUUGGGAAGAGGGGAUUUAGUACUCACCAGAACGCAAGUCUUCCAUGCGCGAGACCUUUAAACGUUGUUCUACGAAAAUGAAAGGUAGUUCAGAGAUCUGAUGGGAAAAUGAUAGAGUAUAAUUUCAGGAAAGCCAGAGCUGAACAUUAAUCCCUCUAUGGACGGCCAGAGAGUGCAAUGAAAGACUUGCAUGGAAGCUUUAUGUCCCUUGUAAUCAAUAUUCAUAUGUUAAGAGUCGGAAUUUGAUAUAAAUAUUCAUGUAUUUUCUAUGUUUCAUAAUGUCCCCUGAAAUGACUAAUGUACUUUUACCACUAAUUCAAAAUGAUCAUUAUAUUAAAAUAAAAUCUUUUUUUAAAAAUU